rnacentral:tRNA from 1 species
AUGGGGCGGUGGCUCAGUGGUAGAGCACUUGUCUAGCAUGUGUGAGGCUCUGGGUUUGAUCCUCAGUACCAUA